rnacentral:rRNA from 1 species
UGCAGUCGAGCGGUAACACAGAGAGCUUGCUCUCGGGUGACGAGCGGCGGACGGGUGAGUAAUGUCUGGGAAACUGCCUGAUGGAGGGGGAUAACUACUGGAAACGGUAGCUAAUACCGCAUAACGUCGCAAGACCAAAGAGGGGGACCUUCGGGCCUCUUGCCAUCAGAUGUGCCCAGAUGGGAUUAGCUAGUAGGUGGGGUAACGGCUCACCUAGGCGACGAUCCCUAGCUGGUCUGAGAGGAUGACCAGCCACACUGGAACUGAGACACGGUCCAGACUCCUACGGGAGGCAGCAGUGGGGAAUAUUGCACAAUGGGCGCAAGCCUGAUGCAGCCAUGCCGCGUGUAUGAAGAAGGCCUUCGGGUUGUAAAGUACUUUCAGCGGGGAGGAAGGCGUUGUGGUUAAUAACCACAGCGAUUGACGUUACCCGCAGAAGAAGCACCGGCUAACUCCGUGCCAGCAGCCGCGGUAAUACGGAGGGUGCAAGCGUUAAUCGGAAUUACUGGGCGUAAAGCGCACGCAGGCGGUCUGUCAAGUCGGAUGUGAAAUCCCCGGGCUCAACCUGGGAACUGCAUUCGAAACUGGCAGGCUAGAGUCUUGUAGAGGGGGGUAGAAUUCCAGGUGUAGCGGUGAAAUGCGUAGAGAUCUGGAGGAAUACCGGUGGCGAAGGCGGCCCCCUGGACAAAGACUGACGCUCAGGUGCGAAAGCGUGGGGAGCAAACAGGAUUAGAUACCCUGGUAGUCCACGCCGUAAACGAUGUCGACUUGGAGGUUGUGCCCUUGAGGCGUGGCUUCCGGAGCUAACGCGUUAAGUCGACCGCCUGGGGAGUACGGCCGCAAGGUUAAAACUCAAAUGAAUUGACGGGGGCCCGCACAAGCGGUGGAGCAUGUGGUUUAAUUCGAUGCAACGCGAAGAACCUUACCUACUCUUGACAUCCAGAGAACUUUCCAGAGAUGGAUUGGUGCCUUCGGGAACUCUGAGACAGGUGCUGCAUGGCUGUCGUCAGCUCGUGUUGUGAAAUGUUGGGUUAAGUCCCGCAACGAGCGCAACCCUUAUCCUUUGUUGCCAGCGGUUAGGCCGGGAACUCAAAGGAGACUGCCAGUGAUAAACUGGAGGAAGGUGGGGAUGACGUCAAGUCAUCAUGGCCCUUACGAGUAGGGCUACACACGUGCUACAAUGGCGCAUACAAAGAGAAGCGACCUCGCGAGAGCAAGCGGACCUCAUAAAGUGCGUCGUAGUCCGGAUUGGAGUCUGCAACUCGACUCCAUGAAGUCGGAAUCGCUAGUAAUCGUAGAUCAGAAUGCUACGGUGAAUACGUUCCCGGGCCUUGUACACACCGCCCGUCACACCAUGGGAGUGGGUUGCAAAAGAAGUAGGUAGCUUAACCUUCGGGAGGGCGCUAC